rnacentral:lncRNA from 1 species
GUGUUCAUUAUCUUUUGUUCCUGAUUGAGAUAACGCUUGUAAAACAAGCUCAUAGAGUGGUGGAUGUAGCCGAGCUGUUGCACUUGUUCUUUUACUUGGACUUAAUUCGGUUUCUUUUCUUUUGGGAGCCAUAUUAUCUUAAAUUAACAGGAACAUAAAAUAAAUAUAAUUGAUUAAUGUAUCGUUAAAAAAGAAUAACAGUAAAUCUAAUAUGCACAACGGUAAAAUAACAGUUCCAACAGAUCACACAUUUGCUGGACCAGGUAUGUUAUCUGUUACAAUAUAUAACCGACCUGUUGCAACAGAUGAGUAAACCGUUGGAAACAAUAAAAAUAGAUCACUAAUCUGUUGCACCAGGUAUUUUAUCUGAUGUAACAUAUAACCAACCGUUGCAGCGGAUGAGUAAACUGUUGAAAACCAUAAAAAUAGAUUACUAAUCUGUUGCACCAGGUAGUUUAUCUAUUGCAACAUAUAACCAACCUGUUGCAAUAGAUGAGUAAUUCACUAGAAACAGUAAAAACAGAUCACUCAUUUGUUGCACCAGAAAGGUUAUCUGUUGCAACAUAUAACCAACCUGUUGCAAGGAUGAGUAAUCCAUUGGAAACAGUAAAAACAGAUCACUAAUCUGUUGCACCAGGUAGUUUAUCUGUUGCAACAUAUAACUAACCUGUUACAACGGAUGAGUAAUCCAUUGAAAACCAUAAAACAGAUCACAAAUCUGUUGUACCAAGUAGUUUAUCUGCUGCAACAUAUAACCAACUUGUUGCAAUGGAUGAGUAAUCUGUUGGAAACCAUAAAAAUAGAUCAUUAAUCUGUUGCACCAGAUAUUUUAUCUGAUGCGACAUAUAACCAACUGCUGCAACGGAUGAGUAAACCGUUGAAAACCAUAAAAAUAGAUCACUAAUCUGUUGUACCAGGUAGUUUAUCUGUUGCAACAUAUAACCAACCUGUUGCAACGGAUAAGUAAUCAGUUGACAACAGUAAAAGCAGAUCACUCAUCUGUUGCACCAAAAAGGUUAUCUCCUGCAAUAUAUAACCAACCUGUUGCAACGUAUGAGUAACCUAUUGGAAACAAUAAAACAGAUCACUGAUCUGUUGAAACAUAUUACUCAUCUAUUGCAAAAUGAGUUAUCUAUUGGAUUAAUAUUAUUUAGAUUUCUUCCAAACAGAAGAGUCAUCUUUCGCAACAGAUGAAUGAUCUGUUAGAUUGUUCAUCUGUUGAGUCAGAUUUUCAUUUGUUACAUCAGAUGUUUUCAUCUAUUGCAUCAGAUGUUUUCAUCUGUCACAUCAGAUGUUUCAUUUGUUGCAAUACCAUUUUUACCAAGACAAACAACAAAUCAACCCAGCAACACCAACACAUCACACACACACACUAAGAACAACAAUCGUGACAAAAAAUCACCAACAAAUUCGAAUCAACAGUUCGACAACAAGAAGAAGAAAUGCCAGAAAUUAGAGUUUUAUUCAGUCCACAUUUCAAAUUAAGCUAGAAAUAUUAAAAUUGUUAAUCAAUACUAGAAGAGUAGUUGACUCAAGUUCCUCUGUUUCUUCAUAAUUUUUUACCUGUGAAAAAAAUGGGAUGACGAAGAACUAGAAGUUGUUGUCGCUGGAGAAGUCUUCACGUCGAUUGACGGUUGAAAGUCGAAAGAGAACGUCGGAGGUUGAAGUCGUCGGAGAUUGAAGGAAGAAUUUUGCAGAACUAUUAAUUGGGAGAGAGUUGAGAGAAGCUGUUGAGAGAGAGGAGAAAGACGGUUGAUUUGGAUUAAAGGGGGUGUGGGUUGAUUUAUAUUUUUGAAAAGAUUAGAAUGUUUUAAAAAUAUUAAUCAAAUUCACAAUUAACUUAAUCAAGUUUUCUAAUGAUGUUUGACCCUUUAAGUUGAUCAAUAUCACCAAUCCUUCAUUCAAGACUUAAAAGACACCUUUCCUUCAAUUUUCUCAAGUUUUCUACUCCUCACGCAUUGUUUUUAAUGUACUGAAUCCGUUUCUAUUAGUUAUCAUUGUUCUCCUUUACAUGUAAUUUAAGAAAUUAUAAAUAAAAAGUAUUCUAUCCGUUCUUAAAUAUUUUUCACCCUAAAAUAGAUAUCCACAAACUUGUCAUUUUUAAAAAACCAAGAUAAAAUUAUUUUUUAUUUUCAUUUUUAUCCUUAGUUAUAAAUAUAACAAAUAUUAAUGUAAUUUUUUAAAAAAAGAAUUAAAUUAAAAGAAAUUAAUAACUAAGGAUAAUUAUAACAUGAUAAGUUAUCCUCUAAGAUAAUACUUCCAGCACCUCGUAUUACUUGGCAUGUUCGCCUUUUGCACAUUUUUUAAUGAGAAAUUAAUAAGAGUACAAAUUAACUAAUAUGACCCUAUUAAACUCGCAUUAAAUAUUGUAAUUAUCUAUUAAAGUUAAUUACUUUUUCAUUAAAUUAUUAAGGGUAAAGUUUGAAAAAUAUAUCUAUUUAUCUCUUGAUUCUUUAAACAUGUCAUUUAUUUUAAGAUAAAAUUUUUAACAAAUAUAUUAAGUAAUAUGAGACUAACUGAGUAUAUUUUUUUAAGGGAUGUUCAAAAUAAACAUGAUACGAGUAUUUAAGAACAUUGGGAGUAUAAUUAUACUAAUUUACCCCUAAGAAAUUUUAUUAGAACCUUACGGAACAUACAUUUUCAAAAAUAAUUAGUUUUUUCAUGUAUUUCAAUUUAUGGGGCGUAAUUUAAAUCAGUACGACUGUUCAGAAAGAAAAAAAAAAAAUUGGUGGUAUAAAAUAAAUUAUACAUAAUUUUGUGGUUAUGAAUUAUUUUAUUAAGGAUAAAAUAGACAUUUUAAAGUUAAAAUGUUACUAAGCUGGAGUUUUGAAUAUAGAUUUUCAAAUAUUUUUGAAAAAUUAUUUUUGAGUCAAGAUAUGGGUGAAGUUUCAUCAGGUGUUUGACCAUAAUUUUGGGGGAAAAUGAGUAGUAGUUUUUUUAAGAAAUAUGAUUUAUAUCCAGAAGUUUUAAAAAUUACUAAAAUUAUUCAUAACUUUGUAUUAUCAUUUUAUAAUGAACAUGUUUCAUGAUAAAAGCUAAACCCAUAUUAUAAGCUUCAACUUCCUCAUAAACAAUUUCACACAUUGUAGGAUUUACGGAAAUUUUCUCAACUCACAAAGGAAAAUCUAAUUUAUUUUUUUUUUGCUUUACAUUACUUUUAACAAGUGUUAUGCAAUAUACUAUUACAUACUUGAGUCAAAUACCAAAAUUUAUUAAUGGAUUUUGUUGGUAAAUAGAUAUUAGUUCGAAUUAAUAAAUGGUGGAAUAUUUUUAUAAAAUAUAAAAAAAUUGGGGUAAAAUUUAAAUUUUCAAGAAGAGUUAUCUAUCGGAACAAUACCCUUACCGAUCUAUUAACAACAAGUAGAUCUACGCCAGGAGAAAUUCUCAAAUAAUAGAGAUUGGCCCAAAAAUGAAAUUUUUUAGUAUUUAAAAAUUUGAAUUAUUCAACAAAAAUAUUUGUCAAAUAAUCAAAAAUUAUAUGGCCAAACACUUUUUGUCAAUUUUUUUCCAAAUAUUAUUUAUAAUAUCUGUGACCAAAUGUUAAGUCAGAUAGAAAUGUGUUGAUUCUUUUUAGAACUUCUUUUUAAAACUAAUUAAAAAGUAUAAUGGGUCACAUAAAUUGAUAGUGAUAAAAUGAAAAAUUAUACUUACUAAUUAUUUCUAUUUUAAUUUUGUGAAAUUGACAAGUAAUCCGCACUACUUUUUUUUUUUUUUUUGGAAGCAUCCGCACAACUAUUUGCAGUAAAGUGGAUUUUUUUUUUCCUAUUCUUCUUGAAAUGUGCUUCCAUUUUUCUUGUAUUUCCCCAAGAUCAGUUCUUUUUGGACGAUUCUGUAACUAAUUAGAUUCUUUAUUGAUCUGGGGUUAAGCGAAACCAACAGUUAUGAGAGUCUAUCAUCACAGAAGUGGCACAAUGGCUGUUUGUUUUUUGCUGCUUUUGCCCAUUUUCUUUCCCAGUCUUUUCACUCCUUUGAGCCAUGCCUCACCCUCCAUUUUCUCUGUAUGUCUUCCAUUGUCUCUCUAUGUUAAUUUUUCUUGCUUUAUGGCAGUGAAGUGUUAUCGAGAUAGGAGGACUUUAUUUUGUAUCAGUAUGUUAUUGUUUGUCGUAUUACUUAGGAUAGUCUUUGUUUAUAUUAUUAUUUGGUGCGUUAAUAGUAUUAUUUCUUGUUCCUUUAGCCAGGGUCUAUCAGAAUUAUGUUGGCAUUUUCUUUAUGGACCGUAACUUCCCACUUAUCCACUCAACUUGAAUUUCAAAUUCAAGAUUAUCUAUAACUGUGGCCGCUCUGCCCAACUGCUUUUGAUGAACGCCCAGUAUAAAAGAGAAAUUCUGACUGGUCCCAAAGCAUAAAAUAUCUCUCGAAAAUUCACACCAUCUACCAUAAGAUAUUCUGAGUGUUUAGAAAACUCACCGGAAGUGGAAAACAAAAUCCGACGACGCCAACGCUCCGACGAACUUCAACAAUGGCUGGAGGUAUGUCAAAAUCUCUAUUUCCGCUGCGCUACUGCUCUGUUAUCUCUUACAUUUGGUAUCAAAGCGUUUGAAAUUUACCUCUGCCUUGUUAAUUUUCGGAGUAGAAACCUUGUUCAAAAAAAAAAAUGGUGUUCUGAUUUUCAGAUCUGUGUUUUUGAAUCUUUGAUACAAAUUGGUGUUAGAAAUUAUCAGAAAACAAAUUUCUAUCAAUUUUUGUGAAUUUUGUAUCUUUUUUCGGCGUCUGAAAAGGUAAAUACGAACUAAUUUUGCAACUGAAUUUUCUUUGGAGACGAAGAAGAUGACCGUAUGUGAUUCUUUUUCUUUACAGUUAAUGAGUGAAUAAUAUGAGAUAUUCACAUGUGAAAGCUUUUAAUAUAUGGGAUCCAGUUUAUGUUUUUUUCUUUUACAUUUAUUGGAAAAGUCAACUGGCAAUAGUUACUUUGGAGUUUUUCAGGAUAUGUACUUGUACCUUUCUUGGUCACAUAAUGGUGCCAUUAAUAUAUGUAGUAUUAAAUUGGCAAAUUUGAGAUUAUUCUGUCAUUAUUUGUUCAUUGUAUGCAUAAUAUUUGUUACUUUGAAAAUUUUCUAGUACAUGAUAUUUAAUUUUAUUACAUGAUAUUUAGUAAUAAAAUAUUAUAUGUGAUAAUAUAAUUUUAUUUGAAUUAAGACUUAGCCACA